rnacentral:rRNA from 1 species
CGAGAGGCCUCGAGCGUUAGGCGGAAUCACUGGGCUUAAAGCGUGUGUAGGCGGGCCCGUAAGUGUCUUGUGAAAUCCCCCGGCUCAACCGGGGAACGGCUGGGCAUACUGCGGGUCUUGGGCCGACUAGGGGCAGCCGGAACAAGCGGUGGAGCGGUGAAAUGCGUAGAUAUCGCUUGGAGCGCCGAAGGUGAAAACAGGCUGCUGGGGUCGCGCCGACGCUGAGACACGAAAGCCAGGGGAGCAAACGGGAUUAGAUACCCCGGUAGUCCUGGCCCUAAACGAUGUCCACUAGAUCGCGGAGCGGUUUGACCCGCCCGCGGUCGGAGCAAAAGUGUUAAGUGGACCGCCUGGGAAGUACGGUCGCAAGGCUA